rnacentral:tRNA from 1 species
GCCGCGUUGGCGUAGUGGUAGCGCGUCUCACUUGUACUGCACGUGCAUGAGAAGGUCACUCGUUCAAUCCGGGUACGUGGCA